AGGUAUCAUUUAAGUUCAAGCAGAGCCAACAAAUUUUGGUCGAAGUCGAAUUUUUCUUUUUCUAUGUAAUGUUUAAUAAUUUUUUAUUUUCGCCUCGUCGUUUUAUUUUAAACUUCUUAUCAAUUUAUCUGUAACUGUAGAUUACUAAUAUUUAAAAACUUGUCUGCAAGAUAAAUCAGCCAUAGCAGGCAAGUUAAAAAAUCUCGGAACUGCUACACCUAAGUAUAAUAGUGCAAAAAACAGGAUUAUUUUGUCAAAUAUAAUAGGAAUUUAUAACUUCUUUUGUUUACCUGCAAGAUGUAGUGAAACAAAUUUUUUAAAAACCUUGAUAUAUCUUUCACUUUAUAUAAAAUAAUAAAGUAACUUUAAAAUGAUGCUCAGGGUGUGUUUAUUUUCAGGUCUCUGUCCAUUCCUGAUAUUCAUUGAUGAGACAAUUCUGUGGGCCACCGGUUGAAGACCUCUUUAAAUAUAAUGCAACAGUGAAACUAAAGAGUUCACAAGUCAUAAGAUUGAAUUUUUAGAUUAAAUGUGGUCUUAAAUUUUACUACUAUUAUUUGACAGGAGAGCUUAGUAUGGUAAGUCAAAUAAAUUUUCUCUCUUGAAAAAUACAGACAUUUUAAACGGUUAUUAUGGUAAAACCUCAAACAAAUG